AAUAAUUGACAAAGUUCCCUUUAAGGUACAUUUUGAACAGAUAAACAAUAACAAAUAAAAAAAUGUGCGAUUAACUGCGAUAAACUAUGGACAAUCAUGCAAUUAAUCGCGAUAAAAUAUCUUAAACUAUACUUUUCAGAAGAAGACAAACCGUGUGUUUGGCAAAU